GCUAAGCCAUUAACAUUGAUUGACCACCAUACAAUACUUUCCGCCAGAGAACUACAAGUGAAAAACUUGAAACUCAAAGGACUUGACGGUGUCCCAUAUCGACCUAGAGGAGCCUGUCCUAUAAUCGAUACUCCCCGCUCCACCCAACCUCAACUAGCAAAUUAUCAGCCUAUAUACCGCCGUCGACAGCCUACCCUAUGAAGGUCCAAUAGUAGACAAAAUAGCCCUAUCGCAAUACGUCAGGUCAAGGUGUAGCAAAUGUUAAGGAAGAGAUUGGCUACAUUUUUUAGUAUAAAAAACACGAAAAGCACUAUGAAACCGUUCAUGAAGGUGAAUUUAGUAGUAAAAUAAAUAAGAGAGUUUAUUUUAACACCGCUCUGGGACGCGUACACACCGCCCGUCACCCUCCUCAACAACAAAUAUAAUUUAUAUAAACCAAGAAACAAAUCAAGAGGAGGC
rnacentral:rRNA from 1 species